rnacentral:misc_RNA from 1 species
GAAAUGCGAUAAGUAAUGUGAAUUGCAGAAUUCAGUGAAUCAUCGAAUCUUUGAACGCACAUUGUGCCCCCUGGCAUUCCGGGGGGCAUGCCUGUUCGAGCGUCAUUACACCACUCAAGCCUGGCUUGGUAUUGAGCGCCGCGGCCUGCCCGCGCGCUCCAAUGUCUCCGGCUGAGCCGUCCGUCUCUAAGCGUUGUGAAUAGCGAUCGCUUGCGAGGCCCGGGCGGUUCGACGCCGUUAAACCCCCCAUUUUCUAUGGUUGACCUCGGAUCAGGUAGGGAUACCCGCUGAACUUAAGC